GACGAACGCUGGCGGCGUGCCUAAUACAUGCAAGUAGAACGCUGAAGGAGGAGCUUGCUUCUCUGGAUGAGUUGCGAACGGGUGAGUAACGCGUAGGUAACCUGCCUGGUAGCGGGGGAUAACUAUUGGAAACGAUAGCUAAUACCGCAUAAGAGUAGAUGUCGCAUGACAUUUGCUUAAAAGGUGCAAUUGCAUCACUACCAGAUGGACCUGCGUUGUAUUAGCUAGUUGGUGAGGUAACGGCUCACCAAGGCAACGAUACAUAGCCGACCUGAGAGGGUGAUCGGCCACACUGGGACUGAGACACGGCCCGGACUCCUACGGGAGGCAGCAGUAGGGAAUCUUCGGCAAUGGACGGAAGUCUGACCGAGCAACGCCGCGGGAGUGAAGAAGGUUGUCGGAUCGUAAAGCUCUGUUGUAAGAGAAGAACGAGUGUGAGAGUGGAAAGUUCACACUGUGACGGUAUCUUAACAGAAAGGGACGGCUAACUACGUG
rnacentral:rRNA from 1 species